AUACGUAGGGUGCAAGCGUUAAUCGGAAUUACUGGGCGUAAAGCGUGCGCAGGCGGUUUUGUAAGACAGUGGUGAAAUCCCCGGGCUCAACCUGGGAACUGCCAUUGUGACUGCAAGGCUGGAGUGCGGCAGAGGGGGAUGGAAUUCCGCGUGUAGCAGUGAAAUGCGUAGAUAUGCGGAAGAACACCGAUGGCGAAGGCAAUCCCCUGGGCCUGCACUGACGCUCAUGCACGAAAGCGUGGGGAGCAAACAGGAUUAGAUACCCUGGUAGUCCACGCCCUAAACGAUGUCAACUGGUUGUUGGGGAUUUAUUUUCUCAGUAACGAAGCUAACGCGUGAAGUUGACCGCCUGGGGAGUACGGUCGCAAGGUUAAAACUCAAAUGAAUUGACGGGG
rnacentral:rRNA from 1 species